AUGCAGUCGAACGCUUCUUUUUCCACCGGAGCUUGCUCCACCGGAAAAAGAGGAGUGGCGAACGGGUGAGUAACACGUGGGUAACCUGCCCAUCAGAAGGGGAUAACACUUGGAAACAGGUGCUAAUACCGUAUAACAAUCAAAACCGCAUGGUUUUGAUUUGAAAGGCGCUUUCGGGUGUCGCUGAUGGAUGGACCCGCGGUGCAUUAGCUAGUUGGUGAGGUAACGGCUCACCAAGGCCACGAUGCAUAGCCGACCUGAGAGGGUGAUCGGCCACAUUGGGACUGAGACACGGCCCAAACUCCUACGGGAGGCAGCAGUAGGGAAUCUUCGGCAAUGGACGAAAGUCUGACCGAGCAACGCCGCGUGAGUGAAGAAGGUUUUCGGAUCGUAAAACUCUGUUGUUAGAGAAGAACAAGGAUGAGAGUAACUGUUCAUCCCUUGACGGUAUCUAACCAGAAAGCCACGGCUAACUACGUGCCAGCAGCCGCGGUAAUACGUAGGUGGCAAGCGUUGUCCGGAUUUAUUGGGCGUAAAGCGAGCGCAGGCGGUUUCUUAAGUCUGAUGUGAAAGCCCCCGGCUCAACCGGGGAGGGUCAUUGGAAACUGGGAGACUUGAGUGCAGAAGAGGAGAGUGGAAUUCCAUGUGUAGCGGUGAAAUGCGUAGAUAUAUGGAGGAACACCAGUGGCGAAGGCGGCUCUCUGGUCUGUAACUGACGCUGAGGCUCGAAAGCGUGGGGAGCAAACAGGAUUAGAUACCCUGGUAGUCCACGCCGUAAACGAUGAGUGCUAAGUGUUGGAGGGUUUCCGCCCUUCAGUGCUGCAGCUAACGCAUUAAGCACUCCGCCUGGGGAGUACGACCGCAAGGUUGAAACUCAAAGGAAUUGACGGGGGCCCGCACAAGCGGUGGAGCAUGUGGUUUAAUUCGAAGCAACGCGAAGAACCUUACCAGGUCUUGACAUCCUU
rnacentral:rRNA from 1 species